GGGGAAGCUGAGAGCCAGAGCCACGCUCAGAGGAUCCAUCAAACAGUCAAGCCAGUUCCAGAACCCAGCUGUGUGUCCUUUAAGAGCGACUGGUCAAAGGGUCGUUUCAUUGACUUCAAAUCUUCUGGACCUGCAUCCUCAGAGAGAGUGGACCAGCAGAACUCAGAGGUUCUCAGAGGUCCGUCUGCCCGGCAGCAUCAA